rnacentral:tRNA from 1 species
GGAGGGGUGGCCGAGUGGCUGAAGGCGCUGGUUUGCUAAAUCAGUAGGCGGGUAACCGUCUCGAGGGUUCGAAUCCCUCUCCCUCCGCCA